rnacentral:rRNA from 1 species
AGAGUUUGAUCCUGGCUCAGAACGAACGCUGGCGGCGUGGAUAAGACAUGCAAGUCGAACGGGACCAAGUCUGUAGUAAUACAAACUUGGUUCAGUGGCGCACGGGUGCGUAACACGUGAGCAAUCUGCCGGGAAGUGGGGGAUAGCUCGCCGAAAGGCGAAUUAAUACCGCAUGUGGCCAUUCUUCGAGUGGAGGAAAAGCCAAAGCAGCAAUGCGCUUCCUGAUGAGCUCGCGGCCUAUCAGCUCGAUGGCGGGGUAAUGGCCCACCAUGGCUUUGACGGGUAGCUGGUCUGAGAGGACGACCAGCCACACUGGAACUGAGACACGGUCCAGACACCUACGGGUGGCAGCAGUCGAGAAUUUUUCACAAUGGGGGCAACCCUGAUGGAGCGACGCCGCGUGGAGGAUGAAGGCCUUCGGGUUGUAAACUCCUGUCAUGCGGGAACAAGCAAGUGAUAGUACCGCAAGAGGAAGAGACGGCUAACUCUGUGCCAGCAGCCGCGAUAAUACAGAGGUCUCAAGCGUUGUUCGGAUUCAUUGGGCGUAAAGGGUGCGUAGGUGGUGAUGCAAGUCUGGUGUGAAAUCUCGGAGCUCAACUCCGAAAUUGCACCGGAUACUGCGUGACUCGAGGACUGUAGAGGAGAUCGGAAUUCACGGUGUAGCAGUGAAAUGCGUAGAUAUCGUGAGGAAGACCAGUUGCGAAGGCGGAUCUCUGGGCAGUUCCUGACACUGAGGCACGAAGGCCAGGGGGAGCAACGGGAUUAGAUACCCCGGUAGUCC